rnacentral:rRNA from 1 species
GGAGUUUUCGGCAAUGGGGGAAACCCUGACCGAGCAACGCCGCGUGAGUGAUGACGGCCCUAUGGGUUGUAAAGCUCUGUUGUAAGGGACGAAUGAUUCGCUUAGGAAAUGAAGCGAGUUUGACGGUACCUUACCAGAAAGCCACGGCUAACUACGUGCCAGCAGCCGCGGUAAUACGUAGGUGGCAAGCGUUAUCCGGAAUUAUUGGGCGUAAAGAGGGAGCAGGCGGCAAGAUAAGUUUGAAGUGAAAGCGUGGAGCUCAACUCCAUACAGCUUCGAAAACUGUCUAGCUAGAGUACGAGAGAAGUGAACGGAACUCCAUGUGUAGCGGUGAAAUGCGUAGAUAUAUGGAAGAACACCAGUGGCGAAGGCGGUUCACUAGCUCGAAACUGACGCUCAGUCCCGAAAGCGUGGGUAGCAAAUA